GAUGAAGAACGUAGCGAAAUGCGAUAAGUAGUGUGAAUUGCAGAAUUCAGUGAAUCAUCGAAUCUUUGAACGCACAUUGCGCCCCUUGGUAUCCCGAGGGGCAUGCCUGUUCGAGCGUCAUUUCACCACUCAAGCCUGGCUUGGUGUUGGGCGACGUCCCCUUUGGGGACGCGCCUCGAAACGCUCGGCGGCGUGGCACCGGCUUUAAGCGUAGCAGAAUCUUUCGCUUUGGAAGUCGGGGCCCCGUCUGCCGGAAGACCUACUCGCAAGGUUGACCUCGGAUCAGGCAGGGAUACCCGCUGAACUUAAGCAUAUCAAUAAGCGGAGG
rnacentral:misc_RNA from 1 species